UACGUAGGGUCCGAGCGUUGUCCGGAAUUACUGGGCGUAAAGAGCUCGUAGGUGGUUUGUCGCGUUGUUCGUGAAAACUCACAGCUUAACUGUGGGCGUGCGGGCGAUACGGGCAGACUUGAGUACUGCAGGGGAGACUGGAAUUCCUGGUGUAGCGGUGGAAUGCGCAGAUAUCAGGUGGAACACCGGUGGCGAAGGCGGGUCUCUGGGCAGUAACUGACGCUGAGGAGCGAAAGCGUGGGGAGCGAACAGG
rnacentral:rRNA from 1 species